rnacentral:rRNA from 1 species
AGAGCGAACGCUGGCGGCAGGCCUAACACAUGCAAGUCGAGCGCCCCGCAAGGGGAGCGGCAGACGGGAGAGUAACACGUGGGAACGUACCCUUUGGUUCGGAACAACACAGGGAAACUUGUGCUAAUACCGGAUAAGCCCUUACGGGGAAAGAUUUAUCGCCAAAGGAUCGGCCCGCGUCUGAUUAGCUUGUUGGUGAGGUAACGGCUCACCAAAGCUACGAUCAGUAGCUGGUCUGAGAGGAUGAUCAGCCUCACUGGGACUGAGACACGGCCCAGACUCCUACGGGAGGCAGCAGUGGGGAAUAUUGGACAAUGGGCGCAAGCCUGAUCCAGCCAUGCCGCGUGGAUGAUGAAGGCCCUAGGGUUGUAAAGUCCUUUCGACGGGGAAGAUAAUGACGGUACCCGUAGAAGAAGCCCCGGCUAACUUCGUGCCAGCAGCCGC